rfam:Schistosoma mansoni, Puerto Rico, WGS project CABG01000000 data, contig: 0094
GCACUGCCGAAGAUUCCUACAAUAGGACGAAACGGCCGUCCAGUGC